GAACGCACAUUGCGCCCUUUGGUAUUCCGAAGGGCAUGCCUGUUCGAGCGUCAUUAUCACCCCUCAAGCCCUCGGCUUGGUGUUGGACGGCUUGGUGGAGACCCCCUUUGCGGGCUUCUACCCCUCCCAAAGACAAUGACGGCGGCCUCGUUGGACCCCCGGUACACUGAGUUCUUCACGGGACACGUAUCGGACACAUGGGUUCACGGGACACGGUCUGCCUCCCCUCAGGGAGAAUCUUUUUUUAUCAAGGUUGACCUCGGAUCAGGUAGGGAUACCCGCGGAACUUA
rnacentral:misc_RNA from 1 species